rnacentral:lncRNA from 1 species
AGUUACUCCCUUCAGGAGUUGUCAGUCAGCUCCUGUCCUUCGUUGAAGCCGCACGCCUCACCUCAGGGACAACAUCUCUCAACUUGACUGAUAGCGAUUCACCAGGCCGGGAAAUGGAAUCCACAGACUUCCAGGAUGAGGAGUCUCCUCCUAAAGAGGGGGCAGGAGAAGCAGGAGGAGAAGCAGGAGCAGCAGCAGCAGCAGCAGGAACAGCAGCAGGAGCAGGAGUAGGAGCUGCAGGAUCAGGAGUAGCAGUCGGAGCAGCAGCAGGGGCAGCAGCAGUAGCAGUAGCAGCAGCAGCAGCGGCAGCAGCAGCAGCAGCAGAAGCGGCUGCGGCGGCAGCAGCGGCGGCAGCAGCAGCGGCAGCAGCAGAAGCAGCAGCUGAAGCAGAAGCAGCAGCAGCAGCAGCAGAAACAGCAGAAGGAGGAGAAGAGGAAGAAGAAGAGGAAGAAGAGGAAGAAGAAGCAGAGCUGGACCCUCAGGCACCUGGCCGUGAACCUGGGCCUUUGCCAAGCCCCAAAGUGACCUUCAAAGCAGGCUAUAGCUCCCGCUGGGGGAAGAGCGGCUUCUACUUCAAGUCUGGGCAGCGGUACCCUUCCUUCAAAUCCAUUGAAUUAAAAGAUGAUGAUCCCCAGGCCAUUAAGCAGGAGUUUGCCAAGAUUCGUCAGAAAGUGGAUGCCCUCCUGAACAGCCUGGAGAAAGAGCCAGACCCCCAGGUUGAGAUCCAAGAGAAGCCAGAGGGGGCUUCAGGCAGCAGCACCAGCACCAACACCAGCACCAGCACCAGUGACAGCACCAGCGCCAGCACCAGCACCAGCACCAGCACCGGCACUGGCCCUGGCACUGGCACCAGCACCAGUACCAGCACCAGCAGCAUCAGCAGCAUCAGCAGCAUCAGCAGCAUCAGCAGC